UGCCAAGUCAACUCUUCCCUGGGUCUUCAGUGUGGCCUGCCCUGCAGAGUUCAGACUUGCCAGCCCUACACUCCUGAAUAUGGAUAUGCUAGCUGACACUGCAGCAGCCAUCUUGGAACCAUGAGAGAAAGAUGGGAAUUACCAAGACCUCAGCUCUGAAAACGUUGAGUCCCUUAACCAAGGGUGAGAGGUGUCUGGGACAUCAUGGACCUUUCACUUCCCUCCUCCUGGUUACGUCUGGUCAGCUGUACUUUAUCCUCCUGCCCCAGUUCCCUACACACUGAAAAUGCUAGCAACACCUUGAAGAC